GCCGGGCACGGUGGCACGUGCCUGUAGUCCUAGCUACUCGGGAGGCUGAGGUGGGAGGAUCGCUUGAGCCCAGGAGUUCUGGGCUGUAGUGCGCUAUGCCGAUUGGGUGUCCACACUAAGUUCGGCAUCAAUAUGGUGAACUCCUGAGAGCGGGGGACCACUAGGUUGCCUAAGGAGGGGUGAACCAGCCCAGGUUGGAAAUGGAGCUGGUCAAACUCUGGUGCUGAUCAGGAUUGGGAUGGUGCUGUGAAUAGCCACUGCACUCCAGCCUGGGCAACAUAGCGAGACCCGUCUCU
rnacentral:SRP_RNA from 1 species